GGGGAGCCGUAGCGAAAGCGAGUCUUAACUGGGCGUUAAGUUGCAGGGUAUAGACCCGAAACCCGGUGAUCUAGCCAUGGGCAGGUUGAAGGUUGAGUAACAUCAACUGGAGGACCGAACCCACUAACUUUGAAAAGUUAGGGGAUGACCUGUGGCUGGGGGUGAAAGGCCAAUCAAACCGGGAGAUAGCUGGUUCUCCCCGAAAGCUAUUUAGGUAGCGCCUCGGAUGAAUACCUACGGGGGUAGAGCACUGUUUGGGCUAGGGGGUCAUCCCGACUUACCAACCCCAUGCAAACUCCGAAUACCGUAGAGUACUAUCCGGGAGACACACGGCGGGUGCUAACGUCCGUCGUGGAGAGGGAUACAACCCAGACCGCCAGCUAAGGUCCCAAAAUUAUUGCUAAGUGGGAAACGAUGUGGGAAGGCUAAGACAGCUAGGAGGUUGGCUUAGAAGCAGCCACCCUUUAAAGAAAGCGUAAUAGCUCACUGGUCUAAAUAAGCCGUCCUGCGCCGAAGAUGUACCGGGGCUCAAGCCGUACACCGAAGCUGCGGAUGUCUUUCUUCUUCGGAAGGGAGGCGUGGUAGCGGAGCGUUCCGUAGGCCUGUGAAGGGAGACCCGCGAGGGCUCCUGGAGGCAUCGGAAGUGAGAAUGCUGACAUGAGUAGCGAUAAGGAGUGUGAGAAACACUCCCGCCGAAAGUCCAAGGGUUCCUGCGCAAGGCUAAUCCGCGCAGGGUGAGCCGGCCCCUAAGCCGAGGCCGAAAGGCGUAGGCGAUGGGAACCAGGUUAAUAGUCCUGGGCCUGCUGGGAUGUGACGGAUGGCGCUUGGUCGUUCCCGCUUAUCGGAUUGCGGGGGCGGCGGGCUCCGUUCCAGGAAAUAGCCCCAGCUUCAGACCGUACCCUAAACCGACACAGGUGGACUGGUAGAGGAUACCAAGGCGCUUGAGAGAACUGCGUUGAAGGAACUCGGCAAAAUACUCCCGUAAGUUCGCGAGAAGGGAGCCCUUGCCUUGGGCAACCAGGGUGAGGGGGCACAGAAAUGAGGGUGGCGACUGUUUACUAAAAACACAGGGCUCUGCGAAGCCGCUAAGGCGACGUAUAGGGUCUGACGCCUGCCCGGUGCCGGAAGGUUAAGAGGAGGGGUUCACGCCCUGAAUUGAAGCCCCGGUAAACGGCGGCCGUAACAAUAACGGUCCUAAGGUAGCGAAAUUCCUUGUCGGGUAAGUUCCGACCUGCACGAAUGGCGUAACGACUGCCCUACUGUCUCCAACGCAGACUCAGCGAAAUUGAACUCUCCGUGAAGAUGCGGAGUUCCCGCGGUCAGACGGAAAGACCCCGUGAACCUUUACUACAGCUUGGCACUGAACAUUGACCCUACAUGUGUAGGAUAGGUGGGAGGCUUUGAAGCAUAGUCGCCAGAUUAUGUGGAGCUGCCCUUGAAAUACCACCCUUGUAUGUUUGAUGUUCUAACAUUGCCCCCUAAUCGGGGGUGUGGACAGUGUCUGGUGGGUAGUUUGACUGGGGCGGUCUCCUCCCAAAGCGUAACGGAGGAGCACGAAGGUUAGCUAAUCACGGUCGGACAUCGUGAGGUUAGUGCAAAGGCAUAAGCUAGCUUAACUGCGAGACAGACACGUCGAGCA
rnacentral:rRNA from 1 species